ensembl:lncRNA
CUUUCAUAUAACCAUAUAUAUAUCUAUAUAGACAGACAUAUAGAUAUUCUUUCUCAGAUUUUUUCCAUUAUAGGGUAUUACAAGAUAUUGGAUAUUGUUCCCUGUACUAUACAAUAGAUAUAUCCCUAGGAGUUCAGAUUAUGCCAGUGUCUACAUCCCCAGGGUGAGCUGCAGCCACGCUCUGCCUCUUUAGGAGACUAUCCAAGACCAGCAGGAUGCCUGGAUGUCGCAUUCCAGGAUGUUUUAGAAGCUAAAAGCUAAAGGCAAAGGUAAUAUUACCUACAGUGGAACCAGUGCUUUCUCAACGUGAGGUCAAAGAUCACUUUCAUUAAAUUCAUCUGAAUGCUUUAUAAAAUACACAUUCAUGGGCACUGACUUAGACCACAAAGUGAAAAUCUCCU